rnacentral:rRNA from 1 species
AGAACGAACGCUGGCGGCAUGCCUAAUACAUGCAAGUCGAACGAACACUUCGGUGUUAGUGGCGCACGGGUGCGUAACGCGUGGGAAUCUGCCCUUGGGUUCGGAAUAACAGUUGGAAACGACUGCUAAUACCGGAUGAUAUCGAAAGAUCAAAGAUUUAUCGCCCAGGGAUGAGCCCGCGUAGGAUUAGCUAGUUGGUGAGGUAAAGGCUCACCAAGGCGACGAUCCUUAGCUGGUCUGAGAGGAUGAUCAGCCACACUGGGACUGAGACACGGCCCAGACUCCUACGGGAGGCAGCAGGUAGGGAAUAGUUGGACAAUGGGCGCAAGCCUGAUCCAGCAAGUGCCGCGUGAGUGAUGAAGGCCUUAGGGUUGUAAAGCUUCUUUACCGAGAUGAUAAUGACUAGUAUCGGGAGAAAGUAACG